rnacentral:rRNA from 1 species
GCCGCGUGAGUGAAGAAGGCCUUCGGGUUGUAAAGCUCUUUUGUCAGGGAAGAAACGGGUGAGGCUAAUAUCCUUGCCUAAUGACGGUACCUGAAGAAUAAGCACCGGCUAACUACGUGCCAGCAGCCGCGGUAAUACGUACGGUGCAAGCGUUAAUCGGAAUUACUGGGCGUAAAGCGUGCGCAGGCGGUUGUGCAAGACAGAUGUGAAAUCCCCGGGCUCAACCUGGGAAUUGCAUUUGUGACUGCACAGCUAGAGUGUGUCAGACGGGGGUAGAAUUCCACGUGUAGCAGUGAAAUGCGUAGAUAUGUGGAGGAAUACCGAUGGCGAAGGCAGCCCCCUGGGAUAACACUGACGCUCAUGCACGAAGCGUGGGGAGCAAACAGGAUUAGAUACCCUGGUAGUCCACGCCCUAAACGAUGUCUACUAUUUGUCGGGUCUUAAUUGACUUGGUAACGCAGCUAACGCGUGAAGUAGACCGCCUGGGGAGUACGGUCGCAAGAUUAAAACUCAAAGGAAUUGACGGGGACCCGCACAAGCGGUGGAUGAUGUGGAUUAAUUCGAUGCAACGCGAAAAACCUUAUCUACCCUUGACAUGUACGGAAUCCUGAAAAGAUUU